GGAUGGCAGCAGGCGCGCAAAUUACCCAAUCCCGACACGGGGAGGUAGUGACAAUAAAUAACAAUACGGGGUUCUUUAGGAUCUCGUAAUUGGAAUGAGUACAAUUUAAAUCUCUUAACGAGGAACAAUUGGAGGGCAAGUCUGGUGCCAGCAGCCGCGGUAAUUCCAGCUCCAAUAGCGUAUAUUAAAGUUGUUGCAGUUAAAAAGCUCGUAGUUGAAUUUCGGGGUUAGUAGGUUGGUCAUGCCUCUGGUAUGUACUGGUCUCACUGAUUCCUCCUUCCUGAUGAGCCGUAAUGCCAUUAAUUUGGUGUUGCGGGGAAUUUGGACUGUUACUUUGAAAAAAUUAGAGUGUUUAAAGCAAGCUAACGCUUGAAUACAUUAGCAUGGAAUAAUGAAAUAGGACGUUCGAUCCUAUUUUGUUGGUUUCUAGGAUUGACGUAAUGAUUAAUAGGGAUAGUUGGGGGCAUUAGUAUUCAAUUGUCAGAGGUGAAAUUCUUGGAUUUAUUGAAGACUAACUACUGCGAAAGCAUUUGCCAAGGAUGUUUUCAUUAAUCAAGAACGAAAGUUAGGGGAUCGAAGACGAUCAGAUACCGUCGUAGUCUUAACCAUAAACUAUGCCGACUAGGGAUCGGAUGAUGUUAAUUUUUUAAUGACUCAUUCGGCGCCUUACGGGAAACCAAG
rnacentral:rRNA from 1 species